CACCAGGCUCUUCAACUAGAUUUCUAUCCUAACUGGCACUCAAAUUCCUAGGUAGUCCUGGAACUCUGCUUUUAAAAUCCAGAGUGCUUCAUGAGAGCCCUAACAACCUGCCUAAUUAUUGCUUGGUACCUCUUCCCAAGAAUGAAAACCCUGCCACUUUACCCCACACAUGAACCUGAGUCCUGUGUUCACCCAAAGCUGCCCUCCUGGAACUAUGCCUAUGUCAUAAUUCAGACCAUCACCACUGCUAGAAACUCUGGUUAAUGAUGCCCCCAGAGCAACUUCAAGCCACCUCUCAGCUGGAACUAUGAAUCAUGAUGACUCAGGCGGAGCAGAGCCUUGAGAUUUGUCUAGAGGAGUGGCUCUCCAAGUGUGGUCCCAGAUAAGCAGCAUCAGGAAUACAUAGGAACUUGCUAGAAAGGCACAUUUUGGGGCCCACGUCAGACCUACUGAAUCAGAAACUCUGGGGGUGAGGCCAAGCACCGUGGGCUUUAAUGAGCUUUCCAAGUGACUGUGGUACACAGUACAGUCUGAAGACCACUGCUCUGGGGCAGAGGGAAAGGUUUUCUGUGAAGAUUAAUUAAGCCAAAAUUUAUGGAUACCGUGAAGAGAAACUCUUCCCUUCUGGCCUGAUGCAAAACUAUUCCCUGGUGCUCAGACCCUGGAGUCGUUUUCCCAGGGAGCUCCUUUGCCCUCUUUCUACGAUGUGAGGAUACAAGAAGUCAGCAGUCUGCCACCCAGAAGAGGGACUUUACCAGAACUCAACCAUGCUGGUACCCUGAUCUUGGACUUACCAGCAUCCAGAAC